GGGCUGGUAGUUCAGGCUGGUAGUAAUGCAUGCUUCGCAAGCGUGAGGUCGCGGGUUCAAAUCCCGCCCAGUCCA
rnacentral:tRNA from 1 species